rnacentral:tRNA from 1 species
UGAAAUACAAUAAAAUUAAGCUUCUAACUUAAUUUCUAGCAUAAAUCUGUUUAUAUUUC